CUCUCUAUGUUCUCUCUCCAGAUAUACCUGGGCAGAGGUUGGAAAGCUGAGGCUGGGAGGAUCAUUGAUGGAACUCGGACAGCCCCAUUCCCAUCGGCCGCCUCACCCCACGCUGUCCAUCUCGAGACGUUGGGGAAAGGAGCUCAGCUGGAGGGUGUGCGUGUCACUGUUACCGGAGGAGAUAAUCUGGAAAACUGGAAUCCUGUAACAGUGUGAUCACUGGAAGGAUCUGAACACGUGAACAUAACAGACUCCCUGGAGAGAGACCCAGAUAUUGGGUGUGGCUGAUGCCUAGCAGCCUGGGGCUUGGGGCCCCAUGCCCAUGAAGAGCCCCACAAGACAAUGGCCACGCCAGCAACUAACGACCAUGGAUGGCCCCCCCUCUGCAGGAAGGCAGUGGGGUGUGUCCAGCUGGAGAACAAAGGGCUAAGGAGAUGGGUCAGGUGACAAGGUUUCCCCGGUAACAAGAACAAAGGACUGAGGAGGGGCCAGGUGGGGUUGCUCAGUGUGGGCUGCUGGCAGCAGAAGACGCUCAGGGACUGGGACUACAGAGGGGCCAGAGGACUCCGGACUGACCCAGAUGGACUUUGCUGUAACUUUCUGUUCUCUACGGUAACUAAGGUCUUUCUACGCUGGUUCCGAAAUAGCCAAUAAACCUCCUGCUGUUACCGCACUUGCUGAGAGUCACUGCAGUUUAAGGAAGGUGGGGGCGCGUUGCUCCCUUUGGGUGCGCAAGUGUCUGUCUCAGGUGUGCAAUGAGGUGGUGUCGCUGCGGGGAGCUCGAGGUGUGACCCAGGGGUGCUGAAGGCUCCAAGGUUCAGUCCCAGGAGGUGCUGCAGCCAAAUGGCCCCUAGUGAGACUGUGACCCUACGGGUGCUGACACAUGGACGGGGCCCUCCCAGGCACGGCUCCAGAGCGGCUCUAGAGCACCGCACCUGAGGCUCUGUCACAGGGUGGGCGUCAGAUCCCUAGAGACUCUCCCAUCAAACAGCAGGAAAACCAGGGGCUCACCUGUCACUGUGAUGGAGACAAAGUUGCUGUUCUCAGAUGAGAUCUCUGGAUUGGAUUCCCAUCUCCAGUACGCACAGGUGUAUGUCCCAGCAUUUCCCUUCGCAGCUGUGAGCUCCAGCCGGGCGCCUUCAUUCAGGUGUUGGACUACGCUGGGAUCCCCUUGCCCUUUUUGAUAGAAGAAUCUGUAUCCCAAAACCUGCUCAGACCCAGGAGCCGAGCACGUGAGGGUAACCCACUCCCCUGGGAGAUACACUGUGUACUCGGGGUCCCGAGAGAGCGUGGGGGCCGGCAGGUGAUCUAGAACAGAGGCAGAGGAGUCAAUACAUAGAAAGAAGCUAUAAUGGGAUGAGGAGAAGGGAGAAAGGGGAAGAGAUGAGUCCUGGACAGACAUGAUUGCAAGCCAGCCUCAUCUCACUGCCCAGCACCCACCCCCCAUACUGGUAAAUACACCAUGGCAAAUGAACCACAGCCCG